GCUCUGGUGGUGCAAGUGGUUAGAUGCUUGGCUGCUAACCAAAAGGUUGGUGGUUCGAACCCACCCAGUGGCU
rnacentral:tRNA from 1 species